rnacentral:rRNA from 1 species
CCAAUAGCGUAUAUUAAAGUUGUUGCAGUUAAAAAGCUCGUAGUUGAAUUUCGGGAUUGACGUGAUGGUCGUGUCUUAAGGGGUAUGAACUGUUGCAGUCAAUUUCUCACCUUCUGGAGAAAUUUGAUGUCCUUUAUUGGGUGUCAUACGGAACCAGAACUUUUACCUUGAAAAAAUUAGAGUGUUUAAAGCAGGCAUAUUGCUCGAAUACAUUAGCAUGGAAUAAUAAAAUAGGACGGCAUGAUUCUAUUUUGUUGGUUUCUAGGAUCACCGUAAUGAUUAAUAGGGAUAGUUGGGGGCAUUAGUAUUCAAUUGUCAGAGGUGAAAUUCUUGGAUUUAUUGAAGACUAACUACUGCGAAAGCAUUUGCCAAGGAUGUUUUCAUUAAUCAAGAACGAAAGUUAGGGGAUCGAAGACGAUCAGAUACCGUCGUAGUCUUAACCAUAAACUAUGCCGACUAGGAAUCAGACGAUGUUAAUUUUUUAAUGACUCGUUUGGCACCUUACG